UUGCCUGACCUGGUUUUCUGACCCAUACCUGUCUUGCCUGCCCCUGUUGGAACAUUAAACUAUUGUUUAUUCGACGUGGUCUGCAUCUGGGUCUUCCCUUCACACUUGAUAUAUACAGUACAUCUCCUUUAAAUGUUGGUAUUUAGUUGCAUUGUCAACCAAACAGAAUUUAAUAUUACUUUUGUAAUAUAGUAAAUAACUUUAGGCUAAAGCUAUCUUCCAAACUAAUUUAACAUUCCACCUUAAAAUUAGUAAUAUGUCCAUUUGCACAUUGAUGUUACUGUAACUAUACAUUUCUUAUGUAAUCACAUAAAGCAUGCAUGUUCAAGAUGGUAUGCAUAGGAUGUUGCAUGGAGAUGUAUGGAGAUCUUUACAAUCUGCACAGAAUCUCAAAUGGCAUUAAUGUAAUCUCAACUGCAAUGCAGGUUUGGUUCUGCUAUUAGAUGAAUUAAACACAGUGAUAACACAUUUAACAAAAUAUCUGAAACUGUAUUCCCAUUUGAACUUUGCUGUGGUUUAAAAGGGUUGAAAGCGCAGUGAUAGACAUUUGGGUGACAAUUAAACCAAAAAUAAGACAUUGUUUUUCCAUUGGAAUUUGGUUGUGCUUUUAGAUGGUUGAAUGCAUAGUGAUAACACAUUGGCAAUUCAACUAACUUUCGGCUUUCUUUUUGACAGUGGUGGAAAAGUACCCAGUUGUCAUACUUGAGUAAAAGUAUUAUAAUAUAAAGUUACUCAAGUAAAAGUGAAAGUCACCCAGUAAAAUACUACUUGAGUAAAAGUCUAAAAGUAUUUGGUUUAAAAUGUACUUAAGUAUCAAAAGUAAAAGUAUAAACCAUUUCACAUUUCUUAUAUUAAGCAAAGCAAGAGGUAGCAUGUUCUUGUUUUUAAAAUAUAUGGAUAGCCAGGGGCACACUCCAACACUAUUAUUUACAAAAUAUUCCUUUGUGUUUAGUAAGUCCACCAGACCAGAGGCAGUAGGGAUGACCACGUGUUCUCUUGAUAAGUGUAUGAAUUUCACAAUUUUCCUGUCUUGCUAAGCAUUCAAAAUGUAAUGAGUUCUUUGGGUUGUCAGGGAAAAUGUAUGGAGUAAAAAGUACAAUAUUUUGUAAAAGUUGUCAAAAAUAUAAAUAGUAAAGUACAGAUACCCCAAAAAAACUACUUAAGUAGUACUUAAAAAUAUUUUUACUGAGGAACUUUACACCACUGCUUUUUGAGUGGGUGAAUAUAUGUUGUAAUCUAAUUGAUCAACGUCUCAACCAAAUAUUAUCCAAUUAUCCACGUUGAAAUUAUGUGGUGUACCCAGGGGGUACGCUUCUCUCUGAUGAGUUGGUUGGUGGACUGUGGACUGUUUAUCAGUCGUAUGAGGUCUUAUUUUACAUUAAUAAUCACUUAUACUAUCCAGAGCAACGUAGAAUAUCUGACGACGCAUAAAAACUUUGAUGUGUAUAUGAUAAUAAUGUAUGUAAUCACGAUAAUGACAUACAUGUUUUACUUUGUCAUCUACAGUCAUUCAUAUAAACCUUGUCUUUUCCAACCCAGGAUGUCUGGCAACCUGUCCCUCCUGAGGCCUCCCUUAGUGGGUGCCACCGGGUCAAUGCAACCCGCCCUCUCAAACAUGUCCCAGUUUCCCCCUCUGGUUGACUGGGAGGUGCCCACCUUCACCCGAGCCGCCCAAUUCCGUGUCGGCGCCACCUUAAUCCUCUUCCUAUUUGCUGCCUGCAGCAACCUUGCGUUAUUGGUCAGUGUGUGCCGAGGGCGUGGCCGGCGCCUGGCUUCUCACUUGCGACCACUCAUCAUGAGCCUGGCCGCCGCCGACCUGAUGAUGACCUUUGUGGUGAUGCCACUGGACGCCAUUUGGAACAUCACGGUGCAGUGGUAUGGCGGAGACGCCAUGUGUAAGAUGCUGUGCUUCCUCAAGCUGUUUGCCAUGCACUCAUCAGCCUUCAUCCUGGUGGUGGUCAGUCUGGACAGGCACCACGCCAUCCUGCACCCGCUGGACUCACUCAACUCCCACCACAGGAACAAGAGGAUGCUGGGUCUGGCCUGGGGCCUCAGUGUGCUUCUUGCCUUACCACAGCUGUUCAUCUUCCGGGCCAUCAAGGCAGAGGGCGUAGACUUCACCCAGUGUGUGACCCAUGGCAGUUUCAAAGAGCGAUGGCAGGAGACGGUCUACAACAUGUUCUACUUCGUCACUCUCUACGUGUUCCCCCUGCUGGUCAUGAGCUUCUGCUACACACGCAUCCUCAUUGAGAUCAAUCAGCAACUCCACAGGAACAAAGCUGGCGAGUCCUGCCUGAGACGCAGUGGCACAGACAUGAUCCCCAAAGCACGAAUGAAGACUCUAAAGAUGACCAUCAUCAUUGUGAUGUCCUUUGUGGUCUGCUGGACGCCCUACUACCUCCUGGGUAUCUGGUACUGGUUCCAGCCGGAGAUGCUGCAGGUCACGCCUGAAUACAUCCACCACGCCCUGUUUGUCUUCGGCAACCUGAACACAUGUUUUGACCCGGUCAUCUAUGGCUUCUACACGCCCUCGUUCCGGGCCGACCUGGCCAUGUGCUGGUGCUAUAGAAGAAGGGACAUUAAUAUGUCGCCCAGGUCUCUGGACCACCUGUCCGCCCACCAGGGCCCCCACAGCGGAGAGCAGGACUCUGACGCCCCCGGUGUGGAACAGACCAAAGAGACUGGAGGUGACGGUAGAUGACUGGCGCUGACAGUAAGUACAUCUGUAAGGUUGGAGGGCUGAGGGAGAGCAGACCUGGAAAUGAGCGCUACUAAGGAGCAUGUAGACCGACCUGCUUAUUCUGUGAGGUGAAGACAAUGACACGCUAAACAGCACCACCAAAAUUUCUCCCCUCUGAUUGUACGCCCAUCUUUGACAUUUUGAGGACAUUGUUGAAGCAUGGGAAGAGGCACUUGAGUUAGGGGUCAAGCCCAACCUGAGAUGAAAGGGGAUAGAUGGAUAAAGAGACAAAACUAUCUCGGAAGUCAAGGUUUGAAGGGUUAAAAUCCUCCAGGAUUACUUUACCCAGAAAAUACAUGUUUUCUGGGCCUAAUCUUCAGCGUUAAGCACCAUGGCUAAGGCAGUUCAGAGGUAGACUUAGGAGCCACCCUGAUCUUGUGAGCUUACAUAAAUGGUUUGUUGUUUCCAAGGGGUCCAGAGGGAGGCAGAACAGAACCAACUGGGCUGCAACACGUUUCUGCCAACGUUGGAUAUCCAGAUAUACAGCAACAGCUGCAAUCCACUCCCAGUUAGACAGGGUCCGUUCAGGCCUCCGUCAGCUCCACAAUGUCCUGGGGGAUGUGAAAGACAUUCAGAUCUCCCUGGGAGACAUUGGCAAUGACUGGAGGCAAAGCGUCAACACCGUUGAGAACCUGAAGGAUGUAAAAUAUGCUGGGAUGCAACAGUCAGCUAGCCUCAGCCGUGGCGAACCUGAAGAAUAUAUUUUCAGUGACUGAGGUUAAUGAUAGAGCAAGCCGGGCUACUGGAGGGCCACCACAAGCUGAGGAACCUGGAGUGCUCAUGGAAUGACCUCAUGUAUGAUCAGUACCACAUGUGCAGCAAGAACACGCACAACAUGAACCUCAUUCGAAACUACUUCGGCAGGGUGGAGGGCCUGUUGAACAACCUGGUCAAGCAACUGCGGUUAGUGCUGCAGUGCGUCAUGGGCAAGGCUUCCCAAACCAUUACAACACCUUGAAAGGUUCUUCAAGCUCUACCACAAAACUGUGUCCGUGAGGGUGCAGGAACUGACUACAGAGGACCUGACAGCCAAAAAGUUUGUGUACCGCUUCACCUGGUUCUUCAAUUCAUAUUUACAAAAGUAAAUCUGUACUGCGCUCUCUAUGAUUCAUGUAGCAUCAGUGAUAUCUGGGCACCAGUCCAAUCAUACCUUUCUAUUCUAAUGUUUCUGACAGUGGUUGGAACUAGAUGCACAAUAAUAAAUCAAAUCAAAUUGUAUUUGUCACAUGCACCAAAUUCAACAGGUGUAGACCUUACAGUGAAAUGGUUACUUACAAUGCAAAUAAUCUGGGUAGCCAUUUGAUUAGAUGUUCAGGAGUCUUAUGGCUUGGGGGUCGAAGCUGUUUAGAAGCCUCUUGGACCUCGAUUUGGCGCUCCGGUACCACUUGCUGUGUGGUAGCAGAGAGAACAGUCUAUGACUAGGGUGACUGGAGUCUUUGACAAUUUUUAGGGCCUUCCUCUGACACCGCCUGGUAUAGUAGUCUUGGAUGGCAGGAAGCUUGGCCCCGGUGAUGUACUGGGCCGUAUGCACUACCCUCUGUAGUCCCUUGCGGUCGGAGGCUGAGCAGUUGCCAUACCAGGAAGUGAUGCAACACGUCAGGAUGCUAUCGAUGCUGCAGCUGUAAAACCUUUUGAGGAUCUGAGGACCCAUGCCAAAUCUUUUCAGUCUCCUGAGGGGGAAUAUGUUUUGUCAUGCACUCUUCACAACUAUCUUGGUGUGCUUGGACCAAGUUAGUAUGUUGGUGAUGUGGACGCCAAGGAACUUGAAGCUCUCAACCUGCUCCACUACAGCCCCGUCGAUGAGAAUGGGGGUGUGCUCGGCCCUCUUUUUCCUGUAGUCCACAAUCCUCUCCUUUGUCUUGAUCACGUUGAGGGAGAGGUUGUUGUCCUUGCACCACACGGUCAGGUCUCUGACCUCCUCCCUAUAGGCUGACUCAUCGUUGUCUUGCAGUCAUGAGUGAACAGGGAGUACAGGAGGGGACUCAGCACGCACCCGUUUGGGGCCCCUGUGUUGAAGAUCAGCGUGGCAGAUGUGUUGUUAGCUACCCUUACCACCUGGGGGCGGCCCGUCAGGAAGUCCAGUAUCCAGUUGCAGAGGGAGGUGUUUAGUCCCAGGGUUCUUAGCUUAGUGAUGAGCUUUGAGGGUGCUAUGGUGUUGAACACUGAGCUCUAGUCGAUGAAUAGCAUUCUCACAUAGGUGUUCCUUUUGGAAAGGGCAGUGUGGAGUGCAAUAGAGAUUGCAUCGCAUGAUUGAAACAUGUUGAUAUUACAGACUCAGAUAGGGAGAGGUUGAAAAUAUCAGUGAAAACACUUGCCAGUUGGUCAGCGCAUGCUCGGAAUACACGUCCUGGUAAUCAGUCUGGCCCUGCGGCCUUGUGAAUGUUGACCUGUUUGAAGGUCUUACUCACAUCGGCUGCGGAGAGCGUGAUCACAUAGUCGUCCGGAACAGCUUAUGCUCUCAUGCAUGUUUCAGUGUUAUUUGCCUCGAAGCGAGCAUAGAAGUUAUUUAGCUCGUCUGGUAGGCUUGUGUCACUGGGCAGCUCUCGGCUGUGCUUCCCUUUGUAGUCUGUAAUAGUUUGCAAGCCCUGCCACAUCCAACGAACGUCGGAGCCGGUGUAGUACGAUUUGAUCUCAUCCCUGUAUUGACACUUUGCCUGUUUGAUGGUUCGUCGGAGUGCAUAGCGGGAUUUCUUAUAAACUUCCAGGUGUGAGUCCCGCUCCUUGAAAGCGGCAGCUCUACCCUUUAGCUCAGUGCGAAUGUUGCCUGUGGUUGGGGUAUGUACGUACAGUCACUAUGGGACGAUGUCAUCGAUGCACUUAUUGAUGAAGCCGGUGACUGAUGUGGUGUACUCCUCAAUGUCAUCAGAAGAAUCCCGGAACAUAUUCCAGUCUGUGCUAGCAAAACAGUUCUGUAGUUUAUCAUCGGCUUCAUCUGAUCACUUUUUUAUAGACCGAGUCACUGGUGCUUCCUGCUUUCCUGCUUGUAAGCAGAAGUCAGGAGGAUAGAAUUAUGGUCAGAUUUGACAUGGAGUCAUCUGUGAAAUUCAGCAGGGCUUCCGGGAACUUCCACUAUACAGAAGUCCAUUCAUGUCAAGUGCAUUCCACUCCUUGGAAAUUGAAAUGAUCUAAAUUUCAGAUUUGGCUUGAAAUAAGAGAAAGUGUAUUAUGUGAAUAACCUUUACCUUAAGCUAGCAUCUUUCCCUCUAAACUAAGAAUCAGCCUUCAACUGUGAUAGGAUUGUUUUAUUAGAAAGAAAACAUGAAAAUGUUCUUGAAUGUGGGAAUGAAGUUCAAUAAAGAUGUCUCCUUUGCUUUAUAAUGGUUUAGAUCUGGGAAAAUGGCAGUAAUAGUGUAGAAAAUAAAAAAGUUUUACCACAGUUGGCCUUUGUUCAGGUCAAGUAGUUAGGCCUAAUCAAAUCCAAUUUUAUUUGUCACAUGUGCCGAAUACAACCUUACCCCUGAAAUGCUUACUUACGAGCCCUUAACCAACAAUGCAGAGUAUUUAAAAAGUAAGUAAGAAAAACUUGUUAAAUAAACUAAAGGAAAAUUAGUAACACAAUAAAAAUAACAAUAACAAGGCUAUGUACAAGAGGUACCGGUACCGAGUCAAUGUGCAGGGUUAAGGUGUAGUCAAGGUAAUUAAGGUAAUAUGUACAUGUAGGUAGGGGUAAAGUGCCUAUGCAUAGAUAAUAAACAGAGAGUAGCAGCAGUGUGAGGGAAGAGUGUAAAGGAACUUUUUUAAUGACUGAGUCACUGGUGCUUCCUGCUUUAAUUUUUACUUGGAAUCAGGAGGAUAGAAUUAUGGUCAGAUUUGCCAAAUUGAGGGUGAGGGAGAGCUUUGUACGCAUCUCUGUGUGUAGAGUAAAGGUGAUCUCAAGUUUUUUUCCCUCUGGUUGCACAUUUAACAUGCUGAUAGAAAUGAGGAAAAACUGAUUUAAAUUUCCCUGCAUUAAAGUCCCCGGCCACUAGUAGCGCCGCCUCUGGAUGAUCGUUUUCCUGUUUGCUUAUGGCGGUAUUGAGCUCCUUGAGUGCGGUUUUAAUGCCAGCAUCGGUCUGUGGUGGUAUGUAGACAGCUAGGUAGACAGUUUGGAUUAGUGCCCAGAUAUCACUGAUUAGUGAUACAGAACAUAAAAUAAAAAUAUACAUAUCGGGUUAUUAUUUUUGAUGAUAUAUAGUAUAAUUUUGAGAAUAUUGUAAUAUUAUUUUGUGCUAGUUGGCUGUACCUACACAAAAUUGCAAUAUUUCCCCCCAUCUUUUUGUAAAAUAUUUCCACAACUGAACAAAACUAAUUUUCUUAUGGCUCUCUGCAGAAAACAAUAUGGUGAGCAUUAUGUUUGGAACGCAAUAAAAUCAGUAUCGAAUUGCAAUAAAUAUAUAAUAGGAGAGUGGGGACACACAAUUAUAAAUGGUUAAGAUAGGGUUUUACAUUAAUCAAAGGGCAGUGCACAUUCACAGAAUGCAACCAAUGUCAAAGCUAAACAAAUAGAUUUCUUCCUUCAGUCAUGCUUCUACUAAAACUCCAGAUCUAACUGGAUGAUAUUCUGUCAGUUGCUAGUUCUUAGCAGAACUCAUUUUCUAAUGAUAAUGCUAGCUACUGUAGCUAGCUAUGGCUCCAUAACUUUACCUAGUCAAUUUCAGUAGCUAACAUCAGACUCCAAUGUUAGUUACAAACUCUCAAUUACAAUGACUUGGACAAUAGUUUCCAAAAACAUUAAAAAUAAGAAACAAAUAAUGCUACCUAGCCAUAAAAGAAAAACAUUUAAACUUACCAGCCAUGAGAGCUAACAGCUGGGCUUCUUUGGUGGACAUUGCACAAUCAGUCUCAGCUGUAAACUGGUUGUGCACAUCGUGAUUGGGGAAAAAGGGAAAUGACCCUACCACCAGUUAGCCCUCUCUAAAAAAACACCACACAUCCCACUAUUUUACCCUACCUAGUCCUACUCCAGACAAACAGUCUGAGAGGACAUAACACUACCACUCAACACCUCCUGCAGCUGUUCUGCAGUAAAUCCUCGCAAUCCCAAGUUCUUUUCUGCCGCUGCCACUACAACCUCUAUUUUCUGUGUCUUUCGAUUAAUUUCUGCAGUACAGUUGACAACCAUGGCUAUGAAUGCUAAAAAGCCCACCUUACUGAAGCACAUUUUCUUCACUCUCUCUUGAUCUCUGCCUACUCACAGGAAUCCUCUCAGGUUCCCUCACCCUGUACCCAUCUUCCUCUAGUACUCUCUUCACUGCUUUGGCAUACAAUACUUUUUGUACUUCUCUAACCCUGGAAACCUCAAGCUGCCUUUCUCUCUCUGGACACCUCUGAUCUAUAAGCCCCAUGAUCACCCCCACAACUAACACACAACUUUCACCGGGAUCUUCAAUUUCAACUGCUCCUCCGUAACACCUACUGUAAUGCCACACCCGUUAUCACUCCUCUCAACGGCACCCUGCUCCAUAGAGCAAAGCAUGUCACAAUUCUUGUCCCUAAUCUAAUAAUCCGGCGCGCCCUCUCCCUCUGGGUGGAAGAAGCACAGUAAAUCAUCACGAGUCCACUCAGAGUUACCUUCACCAUGUCAACAAUCCCCAACCUCCCCUCCACCCAACCUGACACCACACAUGGAUCAACCAAACAGCAAGGAUCCAUUCUCUACAAAUCUCACUCCAAUAAAAUCAUCUUUAUCAUCCUUGGGAUGAGGCCCGAAAGCCGUAGGUACUUUACCCUCACUCUCAACAAGUUCCGUCUCUGAACUACUGGAGCACAUUUCCUUGUUUUUGCACAUGACACCCACCUUCCUCCCCUUACUACUUCCCUCCACACCCACCUUCCUCCCCUUACUACUUCCCUCCACACCCACCUUCCUCCCCUUACUACUUCCCUCCACACCCACCUUCCUCCCCUUACUACUUCCCUCUACACUCAACUUCUUCUCAGCAAUCAUCACUGCACCUGCCACCACCUUUAAUUCAUCUUCACUCUCGUCAUGUUCCAUUUCCGCCUGAAGCUCUUCCAAAAGUUGUGUGAUCCUCAAUUCCAUAUUCACUCAAAAAAUAUUCCAUGUCUCUUUUUCAUUGUCCAUCUUCUCCUUCACCAGAUCUCUCAGAAGGCCUGUGCAAUCCCCCACUCCAUGUUAAUUCAUAAAUUACUUUCUUCCUUAUUUCCUUUUCCACCAUCUUCCACUAGCCUACUCACAUCCAAGCGGCCUUGACAGGUGGUUGCGUCAGACAACAAGGCCGAUGCAUGUGAGCUGUCACCAACCAACCAACCAGUGUAGAGUAUGCUGGUCUAUGAAAAUCUCAUCUGAUUGGUUAGAAGAAACAGGUCCCCCCUCCCAGAGCUCUAGCUCUAUCUCUCCUUUCUUGCAAAUUCCUGUUUGGACAUCUACAAAUCUUUUUGUCAUGGUAGGGCGCUAAAAGACUGCCAACAGUCUGAGCGUGUGAAAUUGAAAUGCGCAGCUGUACAGAUGCAAUUAUUGCUUGUUAUUAUUAAAUUGGAAGUUUGCGAAUGCGAUUACAACUACAGGGGCAUUGCCUGUGGAACAUGCUGAGAAGAAUGUCCCGAGAUCCAGUCAACAAUUCAUUAAAAGGUCAGAAUCACUCAGGGUUUGACAGUCUUGACAGAGCACACCAAGAAGAAGUCCUUCCAAUCCUGGACUGUAUUGUGUGUUAUCUGCAGGUUGUUUACAUGGUUAGGCCUGUAUAACAUAAUGGCCCUCUAGAGAUGAGACUGAAAAAUGAAAAUCAAUACCAUGUCACAGCAGACUCCCAAAACGUUCCAUACACACUGUCAAGUCAACUAAAGGUAAACUUCCUAACUGAAAAGGAGGAUCAAAUUGCUCUUUACUGUCUUUAAAAAAGACUUGUUACCACCUACAUAGGGUGUACCGGAGUCAGAUUACAUAAACCAGAAAUGUUAAAUCUUGUGCAUGCUUUGCUGACAAAAGGGCGGGGGAUUUGUCAUCAGUUUUGUCUGAAAGGUUGAGGGAUGGCAAUUAGGGCAUAGAUACAAGCCGUAUCGCGGAAUAUCCGCACUAUAGCGCAAUUGAAAUGAAGGAAGUGUUCCCGCAUUCAUGUCGGCUCAAUCAGAAAUUACAUUAACAUUUCAAACAUGCUAGGGGGCCAGCAGGUAGCCUCGUGGUUAGAGGAGCGCCAGCAACUGCGGGUUGCCAGUUUGAAUCCAGGGUCCGACGGGACAAAUCUGACAGGAAGUGAGCUGACAACUGGAGGGUUAUUGCUGGUAUCAAAUCCUUGAGGCCUUUGCCUGCCAUUGAUCAAGGCACUUAACCCCUCACAAUAACAACUCCCCGGGCGCCAA